rnacentral:rRNA from 1 species
UACGAAGGGGGCUAGCGUUGUUCGGAUUUACUGGGCGUAAAGGGCGCGUAGGCGGGCUGAUAAGUCAGGGGUGAAAUCCCAAGGCUCAACCUUGGAACUGCCUUUGAUACUGUCGGUCUUGAGUUCGAGAGAGGUAAGUGGAACUGCGAGUGUAGAGGUGAAAUUCGUAGAUAUUCGCAAGAACACCAGUGGCGAAGGCGGCUUACUGGCUCGAAACUGACGCUGAGGCGCGAAAGCGUGGGGAG